ACGUAUCACGGCGACCCCGAACGCUUUAAUUCACAUGGUCAAAUUGGCCGAUAAGGCCGGCCUAUUCGCGGAGUAUACGAUAAAGAAGUAGAUUAACGAUCCCGUUUCUUUAUACGAUGCAGGAGUUUCAGAUGAUUACGGGAAGCCCAGAACGUCGGGUAACGCCAAGGUUCAGCGAUAUCGUGAGUCACAGUAACGAUAACUGCACGGACGCCGGCACGACGAGAGCGCAGUAUUGAAUUGCAAUCUUCAGGAAUGGCGUCUCGAUGCAUCGGUGCGCGCCCGCCGUAACAAGAUUAGCGAGUUUCAAGCAGCCGAGCGCUACCAUAUUCUCUUUUCGGCACGAUCCCUUCGCGCAAAUCCCGGGUAAAAUCAAAUCGAGCGUUUUGCAUUGUUCGCCAUUCGAGAAGAGCACUUGCCGCAUGUCGCCUCGCGAUCGCUUUACCAUCCGCGGACUUGGCAGUCGAAAACGAAUCAGAUGUAAACAAGCAUUUUGCAUUCCGAUUUAUCAAAGUACCACGUGAUGUCUCGCGCUUUCCUACCUGCACGAGAACUUAUGGGUCGGAUUUCCUAUUAUGAAAGUACACCUAUAAGGAAUUGGAUUGAAAUUGCACAAUUCUUCAAUUUAUGGUAAAGUAAUUCCUGAGCUGACAAAAAAUUGGCGGAAAAAGGUCGCGGUAUUAAUAUUCCUGGAAAAAUGCGAUUGGUACGAUUUAAUCUCGACGAAACUAGAACGGAGACCAUAUCGAUCUUAUGCAAUCGAUGCGCAUACGUUAUGCAUUGACGUUGACAUGCCGUGUCAAUCCAUUUGAUUUUCAUGCAACUUUUAAAUAUUUAAACUGUGGACUUCAUCAUUAAAGAGAAAUGAUAUAACAAUCAUUGAUAUUAAAUUAUGAUUUAUAUUAAAUGUAAAAAGUGUAAUUGUGACUAAUAAAACAAAAGUAGUAAAAGUUUUAACAUUAAACGAUAAUCUUGUUCGUUAAUAGAAAAUAUACGCGAGGUUAAUCUGCGCAAGAAUAAUGAGAAAUCGUUUAAUGAUUUGUUGCCCGUGUAAAACGUGCCUUGCAUGGUAAUUCAGAAUGCGAUCGCGGAUGCAACACGAUGUCCACGAAUGCGCACAACACACAGAACUCCGUAGGCUCGCUUUGUAAUUAGUUUAGACAGAGGUGUUGCGGUCGCGGAGAUCGCGUGACGUGUUGCCUACACGUUUUAAUUGCUAGGGUGGUUCCAGCAUUUAGGCAAGUCUUGAUAAGUAGGCGGGUCAGAAGGGCGGACGCGAUAACGAACAGCAGGGGUUCGUUCGGGGUGAAGCACUCGCAUCGGAUAUUCCAGCAAGUUGUAUCGAUGCACAUCAGAUGCGACGAGGAUGCUCAUCACCGAUGCAUGAAGUUUACGCAAUUGACUUAUCGAUAUUGAAUCAUCAGUAUUUGCAUGCGUCAAUUGAUGAUUUAGGUCGCCGUAAUAAUGGCAUUGAUUGUAGUUAAUGUCAACUUUUUACUUUGUAGAAUUGUUGCACAAUUCAAAAGUAUAUUCUUUCUGUGAGAAGACAACUAUCUUUCUGAUGUAAUGUAAUUUAAAUACAAUAUAAAUUUAUUAUGUUACUAAAUCGAAUAAUAGAGGGUGUUAUAUAUUAUUAUAUUAAAUUUUGGUCAAGUAUUAUGGAUAAUUAAUAAUAGUUAUUAAUUCACACAGGGGAAAAGUAACUUUAUAUCUGCGAUUAUAAAACAAUAAUGAUUUUCAUCAUUUUCCAUUUUCCAAUGUGGCUCAGCUUUUCAACAAUUACGUACAGUUAUUAACGUUGUAUCCUUGUAGUUAUUUCACUAGUGUAUUAAUUUCUAAAUUGAUUACAUUUGAAAUCGUCCAUUUUAAGACGUAGUCCGUAAUUU